rnacentral:rRNA from 1 species
GACGAACGCUGGCGGCGUGCUUAACACAUGCAAGUCGAGCGGAAAGGCCCUUCGGGGUACUCGAGCGGCGAACGGGUGAGUAACACGUGAGUAAUCUGCCCUGUGCUUCGGGAUAGCCACCGGAAACGGUGAUUAAUACCGGAUAUGACAUGCUCCUGCAUGGGGGUGUGUGGAAAGUUUUUUCGGCGCAGGAUGUGCUCGCGGCCUAUCAGCUUGUUGGUGGGGUAAUGGCCUACCAAGGCUUCGACGGGUAGCCGGCCUGAGAGGGUGACCGGCCACACUGGGACUGAGCCACGGCCCAGACUCCUACGGGAGGCAGCAGUGGGGAGUAUUGGACAAUGGGCGGAAGCCUGAUCCAGCAACGCCGCGUGAGGGAUGACGGCCUUCGGGUUGUAAACCUCUUUCAGCACCGACGAAGCGAGAGUGACGGUAGGUGCAGAAGAAGGACCGGCCAACUACGUGCCAGCAGCCGCCGUAACAC